rnacentral:rRNA from 1 species
GAUGAACGCUGGCGGUAUGCUUAACACAUGCGAGUCGAACGGACUCUUCGGAGUUAGUGGCGGACGGGUGAGUAACGCGUGAGAAUCUGGCUUUGGGUUCGGGACAACCACUGGAAACGGUGGCUAAUACCGGAUGUGCCGAGAGGUAAAAGAGAAAUUGCCUGAAGAUGAGCUCGCGUCUGAUUAGCUAGUUGGUGAGGUAAAGGCUCACCAAGGCAGCGAUCAGUAGCUGGUCUGAGAGGAUGACCAGCCACACUGGGACUGAGACACGGCCCAGACUCCUACGGGAGGCAGCAGUGGGGAAUUUUCCGCAAUGGGCGAAAGCCUGACGGAGCAAUACCGCGUGAGGGAAGAAGGCUCUUGGGGUGUAAACCUCUUUUCUUAGGGAAGAACAAAAUGACGGUACCUAAGGAAUCAGCAUCGGCUAACUCCGUG